rnacentral:rRNA from 1 species
AUGGGUUUGACCGCAUCCGCAGGCGAGUACAAGCCGCAUGACGCGGUGUGCCACUGCGAGUGCACUCCCUACUGUCGCAUGCGUGCGCGACGGCAACGGUGCUUGUCAGCCUGCGCUUCAAGACAUAGUGUGUUUGGAUGUGGUAGCUUUGGUUGCAUUACGACACGAACUUCACAGGUGUAUUGCAGCAUCGGUUCUCUUUUUGUCCGCACAGUGUCAUCGAUGCGUUCAUCUACGACUACGGAGAGCGUGUUUCGGUUGAGACUGGCGGAGACAGGCCCGGCAGCCCGGGCGGCUGCCUGGAGCGUGAGCGCAGGUUGCUUUGUUGACUGUAGCGGUACUGUAGCUACAUUAGCUACACUACGAAGGCUGCCUGGGUCGGUCUGGUCGUUGCCGAUUCCUGGCGCCGCCGCUGGUUGA